UCCUUUUAAUCCCGAACCCGACUUCUGCUCUGCGCGCCCGAUUCCUCUCUUCCCAUAUCUCCCCUCUACUUGACGCGCUCUCUCUCGCGGACGACUCGAAGACGACGGAACGGAGCUUCGACCUUCGGUGAUCGACAGUGUCACUUGAGGAGGAAGUCUUCGGAUCUCGACGAUACCGGCGGAGUCCAAGCCAUCUUCAGUAAUCGAUACCUAGGGCACGACUGAUCGCCUGCUUCUCGCCGGACCUUUUCUUCUUUCCUCGGCACCGCCGGUGUAGAUUUAUUCCCGGAGCCUCAAGGAUGAGCUAUCUUGUUCUUCUUUGAUUUCCCGCAAACCUCAGCGCCGAACCUUUCCUCGAUUCCUCCUCUUCCUCUUGUGGCGCUGUGCCCUAGCCGGAUCUUGGAGAGACGUUCGAUUGUUGAGGUAAUCUGGUGGGGGAGUCUUCUUCCGGCAGCAACCAUCUAUGGUUGAGGAUCAGCAGAAAGUGAACUGUUGAUUGCCUCUAAACCUUACGUGAGAAAGAUUCCAGCAGGGAAGUUUAGUUCUGUGGUGUUCUUUGGUCCCAUCAACUACUCUUUCAUGGCAGUAACGAUUCUGGAUUGGGGAUCAACAGAAGGGGCUGAGCUUGAGUUAAGAUUGGGAGGCCAGGGUAUAGGGUCUCAAAGCAAUUUGAUCCAGAGACAAAACAACGGUCUCUUCUGUUUCAGCCAACCCUUUGUUUCAAAGUAUUUUGAUGUUAUUGAUCCUUCAAGGACGAACAACAAUCUUUGACAAAGUUUCAGAACAAGUAAGCGAUUGGUGGUUUGGAUGUCAAUGAGUGGAACGGUAGAAGGGUCGUCUCUGAACCCAAAUGCCCUACACUCUGUUCUGCAGCAGUUGCGGGAGUCAGUGCAGGCAUUGUUGGAACACUUCCAUCAGUGGAGGCAACAAGAGAUGGCUGGCAAAGACUUGUUUGAGACUGCCUCUGUGGAGGCUUUAGUCAUGAACCUGAGCACCAAAUCUCCGAAAAAAGGCGUGAGGCCGGGUAAAUAUCGUGAAAAACUUGUCCAAUGCGUAAGGCCAAAGUGUACUCCUCACCGCAUCAUUCUUCGAGGCCGACUAGCUAUUUUGUGUUUUUUUUUGUUUUAAAUUCGAAUGUCACUAUACUUUGAAACAGAACUAUUUAGUCUUUGUGUAUAGUUGAAUUCUCCUGUAAAUACUAAUAUUUUGUAAUUGAA